rnacentral:lncRNA from 1 species
AGUCUUUUCUUCUACAGGCCUUUGAAGAGUGUCUAAGGGCCUAUUUAUUUGUUCCAAUCUAGUAUUUCGUACCUAAUGUUUGUAUAAUUUUUUAAAUUUAGUUGCGUGCAUAGAAUAGAUUAGAUUUUAUGUGCAAGUGUAUGCUAAUAAAUACAAGGCUGUCCUUCUGAUACAUUGAGGUGGGCAGGGAACUCGGCAUUGGAAUAGUUCCAUACAGUCCUCUUGGUCGUGGAUUUUUCGGUGGCAAAGCUGUUGUGGAGAAUGUACCUGCAGAUAGCUUUUUGGUACUUUUUUCGGUCAAUGUUUAUCCGCAUCAUUUUGUUUCCUCAGUCAGUACUAUAUAAAUGUUUUAAACUAACAAAAGUAGUUUUACAGUUUCUUUUAAUGCUACUGUUUUAUAUAUCGUAGUAUAUAUGAAAAUGAUACGUGUGUUUGUUUUAUAAGCAUUUUCUUCCUAGGUUCAAAGGAGAGAACCUGGACAGGAACAAGAGUAUUUAUUUUCGCAUAGAGAACCUUGCCAAAAAGUACAAUUGCACUUCUGCUCAACUAGCCCUAGCAUGGGUUCUCGGACAGGGGGAUGAUGUCGUACCUAUUCCCGGUAACUUCUUUCUUUCGAGUUUGUGAUUCAUGUAGUGCCUUGAAGAAGUAUAUAGAGUUUAAAAAACCCAGUGGAUAAAAUGAUAUUACCAGCGAUAUUACUUACUGUUAAGUUGCUUCAAUUUUCAGGGACAACUAAGAUGAAAAACCUUGAUGACAAUAUUGACUCCUUGAGGAUUAAACUUACAAAAGAGGAUCUGAAAGAAAUUUCUGACGCUGUGCCCAUAGAAGAGGUAGCAGGAAACAGAGACCCGGAAGGCUUUGAUAAAGCAUCGUGGAAGUUUGCAAACACACCUCCAAAAGACUGCAAGGUUUGAACUUAAAAUAGUUCUGGAUGCUGCCUAUCUUACUUGGGGCUGGGAUGCAAUACUUUAUUCAAAUAAUGGCAGAUAAAUGCCAAAUUAUCUGUACAAUCUACUACUUGGCUAUCUGCCUAUUUGAUGUUAAACUUUGAUUAUUACGAUCUACUAUAUGUUUGGAAAUUUAGCAUGGCCAAUUUGUGAAAGGAAAAUACGCAUGUUUGAACUUUUCUAAGUUAAAGCUGAAUUCCAAGUUACUAUAAAAUCUUGCCAACUUGCUUUCCUUGAAAAUAAAGAUUAGAAAUAUCCAAAUUUUGGAUUGUAAUGAUUUUCCUGGAUUUUACUUCAUCAUAGUGUAGAUAUAUGUUGAAAUAUUUUCAGCCUUUUUGAGUUCCACGAAUGUGACAUGAAUGAAAUCUGUGAACCAUAUUUUAGCUCAAGCUGUUUCUCAACAAGACCUGGAGGACACUGGAUUGAAAAUAUAGUUUCUCAACAUACUACAUUGUCACUGCAACUUGAGUGGUUAAAUGAUAAAAGGUGAGUAUGUGUUGUUCAGAAAUAAGAAUAAUUGCAUAAAUUGUGAAGUUCACAAUACCAUUCAGGAGGCUAAAUUGACACAUUAAAAAACUUUCAAAUUCCUUCACCAACAAGGCACCAGUGGUCUUGUGGUAGAAUAAUACCCUGCCACGUAACAGACCCAGGUAUAGUAAUUAGCCCCACCUUCGAAUAAUUUUUAUUGUUGCCUUCUUUUGAUUAGUUCCAAAUCCUGCUUUAUUUUGUUAGUCCAUGGUACAAAGUACAAAACAGCAACACCAUUAACUCUCUUACGCCCUCCUUUAAUAAGAGUUAAGCUAAGCUACAAAGAGAGGAAAAGCUAACAGCUUUUCCAAAGAUGGCAGAAAAGAACAGAAUCCAAGUUCCAAGAGUGAAAUUUGGAUUUCCGAUUUGUAGUUUUCAUUUUUCUUUUUGUAUUUUUUUCCUUCAAUGCUGAUAAUUUGUUUUCUCUGACUGUGUUUUUGUGCUUUCACAGGUUUCAAAGCUGGGGUUUGGAUGCAUGAGCCUGAGCGGAGGUUACAAUUCUCGGGUCUCUGAAGAGGAUGGCAUCUCAAUAAUGAAGCAUGCUUUCAACAAAGGAAUCACUUUCUUUGAUACUGCUGAUAGAUAUGGACCAUAUAUACUAAUGAAAUUCUUCUUAGAAAGGUAAUGAUUAAGAAAAUGGAAUAAAAUGAAGUUAUCUUAUCAUGGAAUAACAUUUUAAAAGAAAAUCCAAAAUACAAAUAGGUUAUGUUUAUGCCAAAAAUUUAAAUAAAAAAAUAUAAAUUAGUAAUUAAAUUAACUUAACAAGGAUGAUGUUGCCGUAUUACACACAAAAAUAUAUUUUAUUUUGAUGAAUACUUAACGUUUGUAAAAUAAAUUAAAUUAAUUAGGAGUAAUAUGGACUUCUUAUUAUAAAAUAGCUUAAAUUGUUAGGGUAAGAGUUGAUUGUAGCAUUAUUAAAUUUAAAGGAGUAAGUAGUAUUUCUAACUUAUACUUGAGGAAGGAAUCUGUAAUUUUUCCAUGCAAAUAAGAAAUAUGUUUGUUUAAGGUAAUGGUAAAUAGCUACUCUUAGACAUUACUAAGAAAAUCAUAAGGUGGAAAUCAAAUCAUUGUUAAAAUUAUGUCAAUUUAUUUGGGGGGGAAAAAGUUCACUCCUUUCUAGUUUCUAGCCUUGAAGCAGUUGCCUAGGUUACAAGAUCAGCCACAAAGUUUGGGAUUACAGAAAUAGAUACCCCUGAGUAUGUACUCUGUUUUGUCGUGAAGCAAGCUUGAAGCACCUUGAUUUGAUUAUUAAUUGGUUUGACUUUCCUCUAAUCUUUUGGGUAAUUUCUAUAUAUGCUUUCACUAAAAACAAAUAAAUUUGCAAAGAAUACAUACAUAGAUAACUUUCUUUCAAAAUUAAAAAAAAAAAAAAAAAUGACCAACAAAGUGUUGGCUCCACUGGCAAUGGAGUUCCCUUAAGUGGCUUGACUGGGUUUGCUCCCCAGUUCGAGUCGCAGGGAAGUCGCCUUUGUUGGGAGAAUCUGUGCCUCCCGGUUCGAGCGGGGACUUCUAGUCUGAGUUGUGGUACGGGCUUAAAGGUGCCUCCCACAGUUGGGGCCCUCCCCAGGAUACCUCGUGAUUAAUAUAAAAAAAAAUGACAAGGAGAAAUUAUGAAUAUGAUGAUUCUUUAAAUAAAAAAUUUUACUGAUUUUCUAACAGCACAAAAUGCUUGAGAGGAAGAGAUUCUCAUAAAUCAAAUGUGAAAGGAUUAUGUUACCAUAAUAUAAAUAUGAAAAUGAAUUUUUCAUUUCUACUUAGAGCCUUGGGCCCAAACAAUUUUUUUUUUUCAAGUAUAAUACUUGAAUAGUUACAACAAAUGAUCGGACUAAUGACAUACACAAUACUUGAAUUUUCAGUAUAGAUUUAUAUUGAUGCAACAAAAUUGAUUCUCAUCUUCAUAGGCUAAGAAAUACAAAUCCAUUACUCAACUAAAAUUAUGGCGCAGAAGUUUUUGUUUUUGUUAAGGUUAAAAAAUGAGCAUAAAAGUAUACAUUUAACUGAUAAAUAAUUAGAAAAUUGAUAAAAUUAUUAAUUUUUUUUAGAAAAUUGAUUGAACUAGUCUGCAACAUUAAGUUUCAACAUAUCGUCCAAGGAUAGCCUAGCCAAGUUGGUAGCAAGAGAUUAAAUGUUCCAAUUUAAGGGGAUAUUCAUAGAUGUAAUCUGAAACAAAAAUGAAAUAAAAGUAAAAAUAAGCAAAUAAUGAAGUAAAAUCAUAAUCGAAUAAGAAUGCUAAGUUUUUAAAGAGGAGAGAAAUUACAAGUUAAGAUACGUUCAAAUUUCUUUGCAAACACACCCCUAAAAGAUUGCUAGGUUUGAACUCAAAAUAUUUCUUGAUGCUGCCUUAGUAGCUAUCUAACGCUUGGGGUCGGGAUCAAUACUUUAUUCAAAUAAAUGCUAAAUUAUCAAUAAAUUCUACUACAUGACUCUCUGCCUAUUGGAUGGAAAUUUGUAAAUUUAAUUCUGCCGAUUUUGUGAACUGAAAUUAUCUUUCGUUGUUAACUAGAAGUUAUAGCCUCAAGUUGCAAUAAAAUUUUGGCAAAUAGAGAUUGCAAAAUCCACCAGGAAAAUGCAGGGUGGCUUUUAUGUAUUUUAAUUCAGAUUGCUAUGUUGUUGCUACAUAACUGCCAUGUACCGAAUCAAAUGUAAACGCUUAAGGCUAUUUCUAGUAAAUAAUCUCCUAAAUUAAAAGAUGAAUUUGUUCCUACCUCCUUUUGGAGUUUUGGGUUCUGAUGCAGUGACUAUUCAAAUAUUGUUCUAAAAAGUUUAGAUACUUGACAUUCAAACUAUUAUGAAUAGUUAAUGGUCUUUACAUUGCUUGUAUUAUGAGGUCGGCAUGAGCCCUCAAUCAAAGAAGACACAAAGCCAUUGCAUUUGCAUUCAAGGGUAACAUAGGAGCCUAAAAUUUGCCACAAGAACAAAUAGAAACUACGGAAUAUACACUAUUGUGUUCAAAUUUCGUUCAAUUAAAAUAACGUCGUGGCACAUAUAUAAUUUAUGUUAUUAGAGAAAGUUUUUUAUGACACUAACGUACCAUGUUAUCAUACGUUUAUGCAAUAGAAUUGUAAUAUAUAUCCAUUUUGAAGUUGACCAACCAUGAAAGUGAGAGGAAACAAAAUUAAAACUUGGUGACACAAUAUAUUAUAUGGUCAAAUCGAGACUGUAAAUUUCUCUCCUAAGUUCUAACUGACAUUUUGCAAAGUCUAGGGGAUAUUUCUUAACUUUUAAAAUAUUUUGAACUUGUUUCCAAUUACACUGAACUUUGGGACACUUGUCAAAACUUUAUAAGUUCAUGAUUAAUCAUGAUAAAGAUAAAGAGCACGUGUCCCAGCUUAACACUUUUAGUCAUACGGAGCCUUCGACUUGGAGCCAAACCAGAAUCCUCUGUCUCAUUCUGCUCAUUGUUGACGUUAGAGUCAACUGUCUCUCUACUUAUUGAAACUUGAAAGACACCCAAAACAAAGAAACCAAAACUACAGCUUCAAAAAUGGCAGAAGAGAAACUCCAAGUUCCAAGAGUGAAACUUGGUACCCAAGGCCUCGAGGUAAACUACCCAUAUGUAAUUUUUUUUUUAAAAUCAAAUCCUGGAAAUUUGUUUUCUACAAUUGUGUGUUUUUCACGCUCUUACAGGUUUCAAAGUUGGGGCUUGGAUGCAUGAACCUGAGUUCUGGUUAUAGCUCUCCAGUCUCAGAAGAGGAUGGCAUCUCAAUGAUAAAACAUGCUUUCAGUAAAGGAAUCACUUUCUUUGAUACUGCUGAUGUGUACGGACAAAAUGCUAAUGAAAUUCUUCUGGGAAAGGUUAGAGUCAUUUCUUUGAAUUCUCUUACCUCUUAUAUAAUUCGGACAUAGGUCAAGUGAUAACUUAAGAAUCACAGUCCUGAUGAAAUAUGUUUGUUUAGGAAUUGGUGAAACCUCGUCGGAUUUUUUUGAAUCUUAUUGAAUUAAAAAAAAAAAAAAAAAGAGUACUCCUUCGAUUUCAGGCCUUCAAGAUGUUGCCCAGAGAAAAGGUACAAAUAGCCACAAAGUUUGGGGUUGUAGGACUAAGAGAUAAUGGCGUGAUCGUGAAGGGCACCCCUGAUUACGUGCGCUUGUGUUGUGAAGCUAGCCUGAAGCGACUUGAUGUGGAUUACAUUGAUCUAUAUUAUCAACAUAGAGUGGACACAUCAGUCCCCAUAGAGGAAACCGUGAGCGAUUUUUUUUUUUUUUUUUUUUUUUUUUUGGGCUAUCUGAAUUGUAGAGUUCUGUCCCAAAUUGCAAAAUUUAAAGAAUUAUUUUAGAAACUCUAUUACUUGUCAUGCUAUAGAUUGGUGAAAUGAAGAAGCUGGUGGAAGAGGGUAAAAUCAAGUACAUUGGAUUAUCUGAGGCCAGCCCAGACACAAUUAGGAGAGCACAUGCUGUUCAUCCCAUCACAGCUGUACAAAUGGAAUGGUCCCUCUGGACUCGUGAUAUUGAGGAAGAGAUAAUACCCCUCUGCAGGUUUGUUCUUCUUUCAGUGAAUACUAUCCGCAUUAGUCUUUUCUUCUACAGGCCUUUGAAGAGUGUCUAAGGACCUAUUUAUUUGUUCCAAUCUAGUAUUUUGUACCUAAUGUUUGUAGAAUUUUUUAAAUUUAAUUGCAUGCAUAGAGUAGAUUAGAUUUUCUGUGCAAGUGUAUGCUAAUAAAUACAAGGCUGCCCUUCUGAUACAUUGAGGUGGGCAGGGAACUCGGCAUUGGAAUAGUUCCAUACAGUCCUCUUGGUCAUGGAUUUUUUGGUGGCAAAGCUGUUGUGGAGAGUGUACCUGCAGAUAGCUUUUUGGUACUUUUUCCGAUCAAUGUUUAUCCGCAUCAUUUUGUUUCCUAAGUCAGUACUAUAUAAAAUGUUUUAAACUAGCAAAAGUAGUCUUACAGUUUCUUUAACUGUUUUAUAUAUCGUCGUACAUAUGAAAAUGAUACAUGUAUUUGUUUUAUAAGCAUUUUCUUCCUAGGUUCAAAGGAGAGAACCUGGACAGGAACAAGAGUAUUUAUUUUCGCAUAGAGAACCUUGCCAAAAAGUACAAUUGCACUUCUGCUCAACUAGCCCUAGCAUGGGUUCUUGGACAGGGGGAUGAUGUCGUACCUAUUCCCGGUAACUUCUUUCUUUCGAGUUUUUGAUUCAUGUAUUACCUUGAAGAAGUAUAUAGAGUUUAAAAAACCCAGCGGAUAAAAAGAUAUUACCAGCAAUAUUACUUACUGUUAAGUUGCUUCAAUUUUCAGGGACAACUAAGAUUAAAAACCUUGAUGACAAUAGUGACUCCUUGAGGAUUAAACUUACAAAAGAGGAUCUGAAAGAAAUUUCUGACGCUGUGCCCAUAGAAGAGGUAGCAGGAGACAGAGACCCGGAAGGCUUUGAUAAAGCAUCGUGGAAGUUUGCAAACACACCUCCAAAAGACUGCUAGGUUUCAACUUAAAAUAGUUCUUGAUGCUGCCUAUCUUACUUGGAGCUGGGAUACAAUAGUUUAUUCAAAUAAUGGCAGAUAAAUGCCAAAUUAUCUGUACAAUCUACUACUUGGCUAUCUGCCUAUUUGAUGUUAAACUUUGAUUAUUACGAUCUACUAUAUGUUUGGAAAUUUAGCAUGGCCAAUUUGUGAAAUGAAAAUACGCAUGUUUGAACUUUUCUAAGUUAAAGCUGAAUUCCAAGUUACUAUAAAAUCUUGCCAACUCGCUUUCCUUGAAAAUAAAGAUUGGAAAUAUCCAAAUUUUGGAUUGUAACAAUUUUCCUGGAUUUUACUUCAUCAUUGUAUAGAUAUAUGUUGAAAAAAUUUCAGCCUUUUUGAGUUCCAUGAAUGGGACAUGAAUGAAAUCUAUGAACCAUAUUUUAGCUCAAGCAGUUUCUCAACAAGACCUGGAGGAUACUUUAUUGAAAAUAUAGUUUCUCAACAUAAUACAUUGUCACUGCAACUUGAGUGGUUAAAUGAUAAAAGGUGAAUAUGUGUUGUUCAGAAAUAAGAAUAAUUGCAUAAAUUGUGAAGUUAACAAUGCUAUUUAGGAGGCGAAAUUGACACAUUGAUAAACUUUCAAAUUCCUUUACCAACAAGGCACCAGUGGUCCAGCGGUAGAAUCCCCCCCCCCCCCCCCCCGGCGCGGGUAUGGUAAUCAGCCCCAACGUCGAACAAUUUUUAUUGUUGCCUUCUUUUGAUUAGUUCCAAAUCCUGCUUUAUUUUGUUAGUCCAUGGUACAAAGUACAAAACAGCAACACCAGUAACUCUCUUACGCCCUCCUUUAAUAAGGAUUAAGCUAAGCUACAAAGAGAGGAAAAGCUAACAGCUUUUCCAAAGAUGGCAGAAAAGAACAAAAUCCAAAUUCCAACAGUGAAAUUUGGAUUUCCGAUUUGCAGUUUUAAUUUUUUUCUCUCUGUUUUUUUUUUUCCUUUAAUGCUGAUAAUUCGUUUUCUCUAAUGAUGGUCAGUGGGCCGUGCCGGCACCAAACGUCGGCCCACACAGGCUCGUGGGCUGGCACCGCACGGCCCACUAAUUUGGUGGGUCAUGUUUAUUUUUUUUAUAAGAGUCCGGCACGGCCCACCAGCCUAAUAAUAACAAUAAUAAUAAUAAUAAUAAUUUCAUAGAUCAUAGUAAUAAUUAAUGAAAAAUAAAAUUACAAUUUUAGAAUAACAAUUACAUCUAAUUUUAUUUGAACUACUAAUAUUAUAAUUGCACAUAAACUCUAUUGAAUGAAAAUGUAAUUUUUAAUUUAUCAUAAAAAUAUUUUGUUCAUAAUUUUAUUUUUUUGUGUAUAAAUAUGAAAAAUAUUUCAUUCACAAAUGAAACAUAUCUCCAUUAACUAUUAACUAAGUUAUGAUUUCAUAAAUGAAAUAUUAAUGUCGUAAAAUUUUUUAUUUAUCAUUUAUAAAAUCAUGAUAUUUAUUUAUCCAUUUAAUAAAUUAUAAACAUAAAAAAAAAUUAGAAUAUUUAUUUAAACUAGGACUUAAAUUAAUUUUAAAAAGCCUAUGCUAAAAAAAUAUAUUAAAAAAUUUAAUUUCAAGAUAUUUAUAAAAUCAUGAUAUUUUAUAUUUAUUUUUCAUUAAAAAAUUUUAUUUUGAUAUACUUUGACCCACGGGCCGCGUGCUUAGCCCACUAAUGAAGCGUGCUUAUUACGUGCCUUUUUCGCGUGCCGUGCUUUGGCCCAUAUUUAAUCGUGCUGUGCUUUUAAGACCCGCGUGCCUAAAAUUCUAGGCUCGGCACGACCCACGUGCAUGUCAUGCCGUGCCUCGUGCCCUACCGAAACGUGCUCGUGUUGUGCCGUGUCUUGUGCCACCCGGCCCAUUUGUCAUCUCUAGUUUUCUCUGACUGUGUUUUUUUGCUUUCACAGGUUUCAAAGUUGGGGUUUGAAUGCAUGAGCCUAAGUGGAGGUUACAGUUCUCCCGUCUCUGAAGAGGAUGGCAUCUCAAUAAGAAAGCAUGCUUUCAACAAAGGAAUCACUCUUUUUUUUUUUUAACUAAUUAAGCAUCAGGUUACUGUAUUACAUAGACAUUUACAAUUGCUAUGACAGUAGAUCAUUACACUGAUAUUUACAAUUAAAUAUAUAAUUGGGACUUACAUUAUUACAUUAUUAAUUUUAUGAAAUACAUGCCAAACAAAUAAUCCUUAUGGAAGAACGGUGUCUUUACUCCACUCGCAUUUCAAAAUGGAGAAAUACUUCACAAAUAAUUUUCACAAAAUUAUGUUUAAUUGAGGGAUGUUGAGUUCAUGGGGAUUCGAACCAUUGCCCUCAUAGUUAUGCUUAACUUUAAAGGCCAAUGGUUCACCACUGGGCUAAAGCCCAAGUGGCAGGAACCACUUUCUUUGAUACUGCUUAGUGCUGAUAGAUAUGGACCUUACACUAACGAAAUUCUUCUUAGAAAGUUAAUAAUUAUGAAAAUGGCAUAAAAUGAAAUUAUCUUAUCAUGGAAUAACAUUUUAAAAGAAAAUCCAAAAUCCAAAUAGCUUAUAUUUAUGUUAAAAUUCUAAAUAAAAAAAUCAUAAAUUAGUAACUAAAUUAACUUAAUAAGAAUAACAUUGUCGUAUUACACACAAAAAAAAAAUCAUUUUGAUGAAUAUUUAAUGUUUGUAAAAUAAAUUAAAUUGAUUAGGGCAAUAUGGACUUUUUAUUAUAAAAUAACCUAAAUUGUUAGGGAAAUAAUUAACUGUAGCAUUGUUAAAUUUAAAGGGGUAAGUAGUAUUUCUAACUUAUUGAGUUAUUUCCAUAAUAAUAACCUAAAUAUGUUUGUUUAAGGUUUUGGCAAAUAGCUACUCUUAGACAUUACUAAGAAUAUCUGAAGAUGAAAAUCAAAUCACUGUUAAAAUUACCCCUGAGAAGCCACGAAGUUUGGGACUACAGAAAUAGAUACCCCUGAGUAUGUGCUCUGCCUUGUUGUGAAGCAAGCUUGCAGCACCUUGAUUUGAUUAUUAAUUGGCUUGACUUCCCUCUAAUUUUGGAUAAUUUCUUUAUAUGCUUUUCACUAAAAACAAAUAAAUUUACAAAGAAUACAUGCAUAGAUAACUUUCUUUCAAAUUUAAAAUGAAAAAUAAAUUGCGAAAAGAAAUUGUGAAUCUGAUGAUUCUUUUAAUAAAAAAAUUUACUGAUUAUAUGGUCAAAUCGAGACUGUAAAUUUCUCUCCUAAGUUCUACAUGACAUUUUGCAAAGUUUAGGGGAUAUUUCUUAACUUUUUAAAUAUUUUGAACUUGUUUUCAAUUACACUGAACUUUAGGACACUUGUCAAAACUUAUAAGUUCAUGAUUAAUCAUGAUAAAGAUAAAGAGCACGUGUCCCAGCUUAACACUUUUAGUCAUUCUGCUCAUUGUUGACGUUAGAGUCCACUGUCUCUCUACUUAUUGAAACUUGAAAGACACCCAAAACAAAGAAACCAAAACUACAGCUUCAAAAAUGGCAGAAGAGAAACUCCAAGUUCCAAGAGUGAAACUUGGUACCCAAGGCCUCGAGGUAAACUACCCAUAUGUAAUUUUUUUUUUUUAUCAAAUCCUGGAAAUUUGUUUUUCAUGGUCUUACAGGUUUCAAAGUUGGCGCUUGGAUGCAUGAACCUGAGUUCUGGUUAUAGCUCUCCAGUCUCAGAAGAGGAUGGCAUCUCCAUGAUAAAACAUGCUUUCAGUAAAGGAAUCACUUUCUUUGAUACUGCUGAUGUGUACGGACAAAAUGCUAAUGAAACUCUUCUGGGAAAGGUUAUGGUCAUUUCUUUGAAUUCUCUUACCUCUUAUAUAAUUCAGACAUAGGUCAAGUGGUAACUUAGGAACCACAGUCCUGAUGAAAUAUGUUUGUUUAGGAAUUGGUGAAUAAUUACUUUUGUAUCAUAGAAGGGAAACCUUGUCAGAAUUUUUAGAAUUUUAUUGAAUUAAAAAAAAAAAAAAAGAGUACUCCUUCGAUUUCAGGCCUUCAAGAUGUUGCCCAGAGAAAAGGUACAAAUAGCCACAAAGUUUGGGGUUGUAGGACUAAGAGAUAAUGGCGUGAUCGUGAAGGGCACCCCUGAUUACGUGCGCUCGUGUUGUGAAGCUAGCUUGAAGCGACUUGAUGUGGAUUACAUUGAUUUGUAUUAUCAACAUAGAGUGGACACAUCGGUCCCUAUCGAGGAAACCAUGAGUGAUAUUUUUUCUCCCGGGCUAACUAUCUGAAUCGUAAAGUUCUGUCUUAAAUUACAAUAUUUAAAGAGUUUUUUAGAAACUAUAUUCCUUGUCAUGUUAUAGAUUGGCGAAAUGAAGAAGCUGGUGGAGGAGGGUAAAAUCAAGUACAUUGGUUUGUCUGAGGCUAGCCCAGACACAAUUAGGAGAGCACAUGGUGUUCAUCCCAUCACAGCUGUACAAAUGGAAUGGUCCCUCUGGACUCGUGAUAUCGAGGAAGAGAUAAUACCCCUCUGCAGGUUUGUUCUUCUUUCAGUGAACACUAUCCACAUUAGUCUUCUCUUUUACAGUCCUUUGAAGAGUGUCUAAGGACCUAUUUACCUUUUCCAAUCUAGUAUUUUGUGUCUAAUGUCUGUAGAAUUUUAAAAAAAAUAAUUGCUUGCUUAGAAUAGAUUAGAUUUUCUGUGCAAGUAUAUGCUAAUAUAUACAAGGCUGCUUUUCUUAUACAUUGAAGUGGGCAGGGAACUUGGCAUUGGAAUUGUUCCAUACAGCCCUCUUGGUCGUGGGUUUUUCGGUGGCAAAGCUGUUGUGGAAAGUGUACCCGCAGAUAGCGUUUUGGUACUUUUUUCAUAAAUGUUUAUCCACAUCAAUUUGUUUCCUAUGUAGUGUAUAAAUGUUUUAAAAUAGCAACAGUAGUUUCCAGUUUCCUUUAAUGCUAAUGUUUUAUAUAUCAUAAUACAUAUUAAAAUGAUGCAUAUGUUUGUUUUAUAAGCAUUUUUUUCCUCGGUACAAAGGAGAGAACCUGGACAGGAACAAGAAUAUUUAUUUUCGCAUAGAGAAUCUUGCCAAAAAGUACAAAUGCACUUCUGCUCAACU